rnacentral:rRNA from 1 species
UACUAGAGUAGCACUCGCAUAUCAAUAAGCGGAGGAAAAGAAACUAACAAGGAUUCCCCUAGUAACGGCGAGUGAAGCGGGAAGAGCUCAAAUUUGAAAUCUUAAAGGGUUUCCCUUUACGAAUUGUAGUUUAAAGAAGUGUUUUCUGUUGAGGUUUUGGUAAAAGUUCUUUGGAAUAGGACAUCAUAGAGGGUGAGAAUCCCGUAUUUGACCUUUACUUUCAACUUUGUGAUACACUUUCAAAGAGUCGGAUUGUUUGGGAAUGCAGUCCAUAAUGGGUGGUAAAUUUCAUCUAAAGCUAAAUAUUGGCGAGAGACCGAUAGCGAACAAGUACCGUGAGGGAAAGAUGAAAAGAACUUUGAAAAGAGAGUUAAACAGUACGUGAAAUUGUCAAAAGGGAAGCGUUUGACACCAGUGUUGUUUUUCUGAAAAUCAAUUAAAGAACUGUUUAUGCUAAGCUGUUUAGACUUUAUCAGCUAUCUGUUUAGUUUUGAGCUUUUCUUUAAUGCACUUUUCAGUUAACAAGUCAACAUCAAUUUCUUUUGCUGUAAAAAAGCUUGAGGAAGGUGGCUUGAGAUUCGUCUUAAGUGUUUAUAGCCUCUUGCCUAUGCAGUCGGAGAGAUUGAGGUCUGCAGCGUAGAUCCUUCGGGGCUAAAUGCAUUUGUGCUAAGUUAUAGCAUUUUAUAGACAACUUGUUGACUAUGAUUUGUCUUGUAGCUUACUCGCUUAUGUUAUUUUACCUACGCUUAGGAUGUUGAAGACUCUACAGAGAUA